ensembl:lncRNA uncharacterized LOC114852054
CCUGAGUCCGGAUCAGGCAUCUGUGCUCUAUGACCUAGAGGCCCGGUCGCAUCCUACGUGCUCGUCGUGGGUCCUUCCUGUCAGAGCCGUCACUCAGCGGCGCCUCAUGACUCAAAAACUUGUUAAAGAAGUGAGCUUGUUUGAGAAAAGCUUCCCUCCUUCCUCCUCCUACAUCUUCCUCCUCCUCCUGUCUUAUCUGCGCUGCUUACUUUCCCCACCCCUCUCUGCUCUCGCUUUGAAGGGAGGAAAUCUGCUCUUUGCAGCAGCAGCGGCGGCGGCGGCGGCUUGGAGAUGAAGUGAUUCACUGAGGAGGGAGCAGCACACCUCUGCACCGUUUCCUCUCAUCACGCUUGUUUUCGCCUCCUGCUCGUCUUCAGCGCUUCUGCACGGGUCCAGUCAUGGCUCCCUGGACCGCUGUGAGCGCCGCAGCUCUGCUGUUGCUGACUGCUGAUGUCUGUCUUACACAAAACCCAGGGUUGACAGCGGUACCUCACAGCAACACGUCCACAGCAAACAGCAGCAGCGCCGCCAGCCGGCCCGGUUCUAGCCCGUCAACAUCUGCCCCCCCCACCCCCAAACCCCCGCCUCCAGUUCCAGCUCUGCUGACAGUCAACUGGACGUCUGUAUGUGGAGGAGACGUCCUGCUUCAUCAUCCCACUCUCAACUUUACUGUUUGUUUUGUGAGUGAUAAAAAGCUUUUGACAAAUGUUUGCAACUAUAUGCGAGGCUGUAAAGGUCCUCCACAGUGGAAGAAAGGAAGGGAGUCAAACUGUUCUACCAUCACCAUGACGGGAGCAGUGCAGAGGGAUCACUCCACCACACUGAGGGUCCAGUGCAAAGUUGAAGCCAUUCCAGAUGUUAAAGGGCAGCUGCACACCUAUAAGGUGAUGACAGCCUUGCUCUGCUGUGUGUUGGUGAUCAUCUUACUGAUCCGCUUCAGCAAACCCACAGUCAAAGCCCUGCAGAAGAGACUAUCAAACCGGGGACAGAAUCGUUGGGUUGGUCCGACUCAGAGUCACAGCGUGUCUUACCAGCGAGGCAAAAUUGUUACAACUAACGAUGGCGAGAAGAGACUAUCCUACCCAGGUAAAUAUACCCCCCCAAACACACACACACACACACACACACACACACACACACACACACACACACACACACACACACACACACACAUUAGUCUAUCAUUCUUUGACACCAUUGUUUGUUAUUCCCUCAUCUCAGCUCUGGAGCGACUGAUGGUCAGUGACAGCAGAGAGCCGUCGUCCAACAGGAACAGUGGCUACAACAUCUGA